rnacentral:lncRNA from 1 species
AUUAAUAAAUCACAUAUUAUUUCUCGAUCACAAAUUUUAUAUGUCAUAAUAAUCAAAUUAAAAAGGCACGAAUUAUUUUUCGAUCACAAAUUUAAAAAUUUAUAAAUUACAACUUAUUUCACUCUCACAAAUCAUAAAAUUAAUUGAUUACAAUUAUUUCUCAAUCAUAAAUUAUUAAAUUACUUGAUCACAACGUAAUAGAUUGUGAGUCACAAUUACAAAUUUAAUCGGAAUUUCACGCUUUUAAGUUACAUAUUAUUUAUUACCACCAGCAGCACCACAUAACCUCACCAGCACUGCCAAAAUCAUCAUCGCCUCACCAGCACUGCCACUUUACCACCGCAGCAAGCACGACCAUCAACAAAAAAACCCAACCCAAAAUUGUUGUAAAACCAUCACAAAAUCAGAUCCAAAAUCACUACAACCACUACAAAAUCAAAUCCACAACCACCACCAUCAAAAACCACCAACAAAAACCGCAACAACUCCAAAAUAUUGAAACUACCGCCAGCACAAACAACCACCUCCACCAACACCGCUACCACCACCGCCAUUCGAAUAACCAACAAAUAGAGAGUCGUCGCUGUAGUGGAGCAACAAAGUGUCGCUGCAUAACGAUGCUCACAGCAGCCGCUGCACCGACAACGUUACGAAGAGGGAAUGAGUUCGAGUUGAGGUAGACAAAGAAAAUGGAGUGUUUGAAAUUUCUGUAAAAUUACUUCGAUGAUUUUUAUAAUCUGUUGAAGACAAUGAUGACAUUGGAAAUCUUCCAUGUGCACAGUGCAACGGCAGUGGUCUUUCGACUAUGGUGUUGGUCUAAUUUGAGGGAGAGGGUAGAGAGAGACAGGAGAGGAAGAAGUGAUAAUUAGGGCUUGGAUGGGGGUCGGUGAGAUAGGGAUGAGCAUAUAGAUUGAUUUAUAUUAAUAUUAAAAUGUGAAAUUAUCGCC